AGAAAACAAAAAAUCUACGGUCAAUGCCAUCGUAUCCUAUUUUGCCAAUUCCGCCUUCUACAAACGAGGAUUUCGUAUCUUUCAAUUGAAGCUUUCUCGUUUCUGGUCUCUAGUGGGAUUUCGCGGGGCGUCUCGUACUUUCAAUCAAGAGAUUCUGCUUCCCACGAGGACAAUUUCGCAGCUGUCAAUGGAAACUUACCCGUUUCUGGUCUCUGAGUGGGAUUUCGUGGUGGCAUCUUGCAGCUUUCAAUCGGGACCUUCCGAUUCUUAUUUUUGAGUGGGAUUUCACAACGGCAGAUUCAUCUACGGUCGAAGUAAACAUUGAUUCUGCAAGUUUGAAGGUAUGUUCCGAGUUUAAUCAAUUCUAGAUGUGUUGUUUCCGGAAUUUUGCAUCUUUUCUCUGACGAAGGAGCUUUUUCGAAACUGCUAUUCUGAUUUGGACUAGGGUAAGCUGAUCUUAGCACUUUGCAUGCUAUUCUGAUUUGGACCAGGUUAAUUUCCUAUGCUGUUAAUGCAGAGCUUCGUGCCCAGUCUUUUUGUUUCAUUGUUACUUCACAUUGUUAGUCAACUGCCUGCAUCUACCUUAGUAUAUAUACACGUUCAUAGAGAGAUGUCCUUGAUGUGGAAAUGAUUGGGUGUUGGUUAGUACCACCAUUCCCUGGUUAUGUAUAAUGCAUAAGUUUCAAGUGUUGGUUAGUACCACCGUUUCCUGUGUCUGGGUGUUGGUUAGUACCAUCAUUUUUUAGUUUCAAGUGCUGCUAUUCACAAGUUUAUUUAAUUUACAG
rnacentral:lncRNA from 1 species